rnacentral:rRNA from 1 species
UACUGGCAUCCUUGAGUACAGUAGAGGUAGGCGGAAUUCGUGGUGUAGCGGUGAAAUGCUUAGAUAUCACGAAGAACUCCGAUUGCGAAGGCAGCCUGCUGGACUGUAACUGACGCUGAUGCUCGAAAGUGUGGGUAUCAAACAGGAUUAGAUACCCUGGUAGUCCACACAGUAAACGAUGAAUACUCGCUGUUUGCGAUAGUAAACGAUGAAUACUCGCUGUUUGCGAUAUCGAUUGGUACCCCACCUGGGGAGUACGCCGGCAACGGUGAAACUCAAAGGAAUUGACGGGGGCCCGCACAAGCGGAGGAACAUGUGGUUUAAUUCGAUGAUACGCGAGGAACCUUACCCGGGCUUGAAUUGCAAAUGAACGGCGUGGAGACAUGCCGGCCGCAAGGCAUUUGUGAAGGUGCUGCAUGGUUGU